rnacentral:rRNA from 1 species
CAGGGAAUCUUGCACAAUGGGCGAAAGCCUGAUGCAGCGACGCCGCGUGGGGGAUGAAGGCCCUAGGGUCGUAAACCCCUUUCAGCAGGGACGAAAAUGACGGUACCUGCAGAAGAAGCCCCGGCCAACUACGUGCCAGCAGCCGCGGUAAGACGUAGGGGGCGAGCGUUGUCCGGAUUUAUUGGGCGUAAAGAGCUCGUAGGCGGUUGCGUAAGUCGGAUGUGAAAACUCAGGGCUCAACCCUGAGACGCCAUCCGAUACUGCGCUGACUUGAAUCCAGUAGGGGAGUGCGGAAUUCCUGGUGUAGCGGUGAAAUGCGCAGAUAUCAGGAGGAACACCCAUGGCGAAGGCAGCACUCUGGGCUGGUAUUGACGCUGAGGAGCGAAAGCAUGGGUAGCGAACAGGAUUAGAUACCCGCGUAGUCCCUGAGCGGGCUGGCAAGGCGCAU